rnacentral:rRNA from 1 species
AGUGGGGGACAACAUUCCGAAAGGAAUGCUAAUACCGCAUACGUCCUACGGGAGAAAGCAGGGGAUCUUCGGACCUUGCGCUAAUAGAUGAGCCUAAGUCGGAUUAGCUAGUUGGUGGGGUAAAGGCCUACCAAGGCGACGAUCUGUAGCGGGUCUGAGAGGAUGAUCCGCCACACUGGGACUGAGACACGGCCCAGACUCCUACGGGAGGCAGCAGUGGGGAAUAUUGGACAAUGGGGGGAACCCUGAUCCAGCCAUGCCGCGUGUGUGAAGAAGGCCUUAUGGUUGUAAAGCACUUUAAGCGAGGAGGAGGCUACUGAGACUAAUACUCUUGGAUAGUGGACGUUACUCGCAGAAUAAGCACCGGCUAACUCUGUGCCAGCAGCCGCGGUAAUACAGAGGGUGCGAGCGUUAAUCGGAUUUACUGGGCGUAAAGCGUGCGUAGGCGGCUUUUUAAGUCGGAUGUGAAAUCCCCGAGCUUAACUUGGGAAUUGCAUUCGAUACUGGGAAGCUAGAGUAUGGGAGAGGAUGGUAGAAUUCCAGGUGUAGCGGUGAAAUGCGUAGAGAUCUGGAGGAAUACCGAUGGCGAAGGCAGCCAUCUGGCCUAAUACUGACGCUGAGGUACGAAAGCAUGGGGAGCAAACAGGAUUAGAUACCCUGGUAGUCCAUGCCGUAAACGAUGUCUACUAGCCGUUGGGGCCUUUGAGGCUUUAGUGGCGCAGCUAACGCGAUAAGUAGACCGCCUGGGGAGUACGGUCGCAAGACUAAAACUCAAAUGAAUUGACGGGGGCCCGCACAAGCGGUGGAGCAUGU